AGAAAAAAAAAAAAAAACGACAGAAACGAAGAGGAGAGAGAAAGAGGAAAGAGAAAAAGUAAUAAGGGUAUUUUGGUCAGUUUGCUGAAAAAGCGGACCGAAUCUGCAAAAACGAAAAAGGUGACCCGGUUUUGCAAAAGCCCAAAAUAAGUGGAUUUUUUAUGCAAAAAGGCCUAUUAUUUAUGGAAAGUGUGAUUUUUUUUUUAUGCCAAUUGUUGAAAUCGAUAUUUAUGCUGAUAUCGAUUAUGUAAUUCAAGAUCUAAAUUCGAAUAAAAUAAUAUAAAGAAAAAAUAUUGGAGAGGGAAGAAAAAAACUAAACUAAUACUUUAUUAAUAAAAAGCAAGACGAAACCCAUAUAGCCAUGUCUGCUAUGACUUAUUCAUCUAAUUAAUUUAUUCUGAACUAUAUAUAUAUCUAUCAAAUCAUAACAGGUUAUAAAUUCAACUUUUAUUUCGAAUAAUUAUAAAUUAUACUCUAAUUAUAUAAAUUUUUAAAUAUAAUCAAUAUAUAUUUUGGAUAUACUUUAUUUUUAACUAAAUUCUAUCGAGGGCAAAUUUUAUCUAAUAUGUUCGUUUAUAUGUCGUUUCGAAGUAGGACCCCAUAUUUUUUCUAUUGAAAUUUCUUCAACUGUAAUUUCUUUCUUCAUGCUGUACCGCAAUACCUAAUGAAGCUAAUAAAUUAUUUUAAUUUAAUUAAGUUGAAAUUACUUAAAUAAAAAAAUCAAUAAUUUAGGGUACUAAUUAGGAAAAAACUUUAAAUACUAUCCAUAUAGUUUCGCACUUUUUAAUUUUAGUAUUCUAUAGUUUAAAGUGCAUUCUUUUUUUAUUAUUCUCUAUAUUAAUUUUUUUCGUUAAAUUAGUGAUAAAAUUAAAACUAAAAAGUAUUAAAAUAAAUAUUCGAUAAACUUAGGUGUGGUAUCUGAAAUUUUUUGUAUAUAAUUUAACAAAAUAUUAAUGAAGGAACUGAGAAAAUAAAAAUAUAAAAUCACAUAGUACUAAAAUUAUACACUAA
rnacentral:lncRNA from 1 species